AACAUCGCCUCUUGAAACAUUUACAUAAGGAGGUCAUGCCCUGCCCCAGUGAUAAUAAUUCAACGGCCGCGGUAUUUUGACCGUGCAAAGGUAGCGUAAUCACUUGUCCCUUAAAUGGGGACCCGUAUGAAUGGUUUGACGAGGGCUUGACUGUCUCCUUUUUCCAAUCAAUGAAAUUGAUCUCUUCGUACAAAAGCGAAGAUUACUAUAUAAGACGAGAAGACCCUGUGGAGCUUAAGAUUAAUUAAUAGACUAUGCCUAGAUAUCUGCACAACAGACUAAAAGCCUAAAGCUUACUAUAAAAAUCUUCAGUUGGGGCGACUACGGAGUACACAAAACCUCCGAGAAGACCGAGAACAUUUAUUCUCAAAACCUAGAGCCACUACCCAAAGUAACAGAAAUUCUGACUUUAAUUGAUCCAAACACUUGAUCAACGAACCAAGUUACCCCAGGGAUAACAGCGCAAUCCCCUUUAAGAGUCCUUAUCGACAAGGGGGUUUACGACCUCGAUGUUGGAUCAGGGCAUCCUGAUGGUGCAGCCGCUAUCAAGGGGUCGUUUGUUCAACGAUUAAAGUCCUACGUGAUCUGAGU
rnacentral:rRNA from 1 species